rnacentral:rRNA from 1 species
CCUACGGGAGGCAGCAGCGAGGAAUUUUGGGCAAUGGGCGCAAGCCUGACCCAGCAACGCCGCGUGGGGGAUGAAGGCCUUCGGGUUGUAAACCCCUUUUGCCAGGGACGAUGGUGACGGUACCUGGCGAAUAAGCCUUGGCUAACUACGUGCCAGCAGCCGCGGUAAUACGUAGGAGGCGAGCGUUGUCCGGAUUUACUGGGCGUAAAGCGCGUGUAGGCGGGAGAGCCAGUCUCCUGUGAAAUCUCCCGGCUUAACUGGGAGGGGUCAGUAGAUACUACUCUUCUGGAGGGCAGCAGAGGGAAGUGAAAUUCCCGGUGGAGCAGUAAAAUGCGUAGAGAUCAGGAGGAACACCGAUGGCGAAGGCAGCCCCCGGGGUUGGCACUGACGCUCAUGCACGAAAGCGUGGGGAGCAAACAGGAUUAGAUCCCCUGUUAGU